rnacentral:rRNA from 1 species
GGUAGACGCUAUGCCGGAUCCCUUUACUUGCAUGUCGAACGGCAGCAUGUUUUACCUUGCUAGAUUGAUGGCGAGUGGCGAACGGGUGAGUAAUACAUCGGAACGUGCCCUGUAGUGGGGGAUAACUAGUCGAAAGAUUAGCUAAUACCGCAUACGACCUGAGGGUGAAAGUGGGGGACCGCAAGGCCUCAUGCUAUAGGAGCGGCCGAUGUCUGAUUAGCUAGUUGGUGAGGUAAAGGCUCACCAAGGCGACGAUCAGUAGCUGGUCUGAGAGGACGAUCAGCCACACUGGGACUGAGACACGGCCCAGACUCCUACGGGAGGCAGCAGUGGGGAAUUUUGGACAAUGGGCGAAAGCCUGAUCCAGCAAUGCCGCGUGUGUGAAGAAGGCCUUCGGGUUGUAAAGCACUUUUGUCCGGAAAGAAAUGGCUCUGGUUAAUACCUGGGGUCGAUGACGGUACCGGAAGAAUAAGGACCGGCUAACUACGUGCCAGCAGCCGCGGUAAUACGUAGGGUCCAAGCGUUAAUCGGAAUUACUGGGCGUAAAGCGUGCGCAGGCGGUUGUGCAAGACCGAUGUGAAAUCCCCGAGCUUAACUUGGGAAUUGCAUUGGUGACUGCACGGCUAGAGUGUGUCAGAGGGGGGUAGAAUUCCACGUGUAGCAGUGAAAUGCGUAGA